AGGUGCGAUCAUACCAACACUAUUGCAUCGUAUCCCAUCGGAACUUCGAAGUUAAGCGUGCUUGGGUGAUGUAUAGUAGUGUAUACAUACCAAUACUGUGAGUGAAUUUU
rnacentral:rRNA from 1 species